rnacentral:snRNA from 14 species
AGCUUUGCGCAGUGGCAGUAUCGUAGCCAAUGAGGUUUAUCUGAGGCGCGAUUAUUGCUAGUGGAAAAAAGGAGAAACAAACAAAC